rnacentral:lncRNA from 1 species
GGCCCUUUUCUCUUGUUCCUUUUUUCCCUCUCUUGUUCACUCUGUGUUUUGGGAUGGGCUUUUUCCUCCUUUGUUUUCAUGUCACAGUUUGAAGUCUCAGUGCUUAAGGAGCAGUCAGGGCGAUGAAUGGACUCUGGGAACCAGUCUGGCUGAACUCAGAUCAGCUUUCUGAGAAGAGUGGCUGUUAGGAUGCCAAACAGGCUGUGACCACAGAGACAUGGCACAGGCCCCAGCUUUAGAGGACUCUGGGAGUGAGGCAGCCUGUCUGGAUGAUGGGGAGUCUCAGCAGGAGGGGCAUGGAGAGCAACAGGACCAUCAGGAAUGGUGUGAGCCGGUUCCUGAAGCAGCACAGGACACAAAAGAGGGAUAUUUUGACACACACUCAUGGCCCAGUGACACUUUCUCUGAAUCGAGUCAUGAAACUAAGGACUGCUGCAGGACACCGCUCAGCUAUGAGGUUGGAUCUUGCUCUGUGGGUCAUCUGGACUCACACUCUCCAUUUGUCAAACCGUCACCUUUGGUUAGAGGGAGAAAUCCCUCUUCAACAAAACAG